rnacentral:rRNA from 1 species
GAUGAACGCUGGCGGCGUGCCUAAUACAUGCAAGUCGAGCGAACAGACGAGGAGCUUGCUCCUCUGACGUUAGCGGCGGACGGGUGAGUAACACGUGGAUAACCUACCUAUAAGACUGGGAUAACUUCGGGAAACCGGAGCUAAUACCGGAUAAUAUAUUGAACCGCAUGGUUCAAUAGUGAAAGACGGUUUUGCUGUCACUUAUAGAUGGAUCCGCGCCGCAUUAGCUAGUUGGUAAGGUAACGGCUUACCAAGGCAACGAUGCGUAGCCGACCUGAGAGGGUGAUCCGCCACACUGGAACUUAGGCACGGUCCAGACUCCUACGGGAGGCAGCAGUAGGGAAUCUUCCGCAAUGGGCGAAAGCCUGACGGAGCAACGCCGCGUGAGUGAUGAAGGUCUUCGGAUCGUAAAACUCUGUUAUUAGGGAAGAACAAAUGUGUAAGUAACUAUGCACGUCUUGACGGUACCUAAUCAGAAAGCCACGGCUAACUACGUG